rnacentral:rRNA from 1 species
GAUGAACGCUGGCGGCGUGCUUAACACAUGCAAGUCGAACGGAAAGGCUCCUGCUUGCAGGGGUACUCGAGUGGCGAACGGGUGAGUAACACGUGGGUGAUCUGCCCUGCACUUCGGGAUAAGCCUGGGAAACUGGGUCUAAUACCGGAUAGGACCACAUUUUGGAUGGUGUGGUGGAAAGUUUUUCGGUGUGGGAUGAGCUCGCGGCCUAUCAGCUUGUUGGUGGGGUAAUGGCCUACCAAGGCGUCGACGGGUAGCCGGCCUGAGAGGGUGUACGGCCACAUUGGGACUGAGAUACGGCCCAGACUCCUACGGGAGGCAGCAGUGGGGAAUAUUGCACAAUGGGCGCAAGCCUGAUGCAGCGACGCCGCGUGGGGGAUGACGGCCUUCGGGUUGUAAACUCCUUUCGCUAGGAACGAAGCGCAAGUGACGGUACCUGGAGAAGAAGCACCGGCUAACUACGUG